GAUUAGUGUUCCAAAAGGUAAAGUAACCAGUGUUCCAAAAGGUUGGUAACAAAUCUGUGCACAAUAAUUAAUUGACGAAUAAUUACAGAUUAUUCUCUUUUUUAUCUAUUUGUUCAAACAAAACCACCUAGCCCUGGUUCCUGGUAUCCAGUUUUCUGAUUUGACAUUGUCACGAUCCAAUUCAUUUCAACUUUAUCACAGCAGCAACAACAAUUUCAAUCACAACCAGAGUGAUCACAACAAACGACAACAAGUCCGACAUUUUUCUCAGAAUUUUUUCCACUGUGACUUUCACAAAUCGGGGUUUAUGCAGUAUCAGUCAAAAUACCAGCUCAAAAUGAAGCAAAGGGAGAAGAGUGGUCAUAAAAAGCGUUGUGAAAGUAAGAGCUGCUCCAGGCCAGAAGUAAACUGUUUAUAUGUUCAAUGCCAGAGCAACUUCUGGGCCUAGGCCUACUAGUAAACCAAUAGGCCAAGUUAGCCUUAAAGGUCUCUUUCAUCAGAGUUCAGUGAUGGCUUGAUUCGCCAGUUUGAAAAAGAAGGAUGGGAAUGAGAAUUUGUUCCAUUUAGCCCAUGCGCAUCUGCUUUUCAUUACAAAGAACCUCUAGUUUAUGCAGAAAUGACAGAGUUUGUGGCAUCUUCAGAAUAGCAAAACAUCAGUCAAGUUUUGAAGCAGUGUCUGUGCUUUUGUAUACAGAUUGAUAGAAGUACUGAUAAACAGCAAGUUAACUCCUCGUUCAUCACAGCAUGAUUUGUUCCAACAGUUAAAGUAAGUGUAAGAACAAUUUUCCUUGGCAUUGCCAGCAGUGAACUUGAUGGUGCAGAUGGUCUUCUGGACUGCUUUGUACAGUGUAUGAAUGAUCUAAGUAUCGGCACAGAGAAGUUGGUUGGGGUAACAACAUAUGGAGAUGCUGCAAAAACUGGCAAGAGCAAGGAUUGUGACUGUGUGGUGUGUUUGCCACAGGUCUGACAUAGAAUCCGUACAGUCCAACGUACCUGAACCUGCUCUCUGGAUGACAAAUAUCCUGGCUGUUAUUUCAUUUUUUCGCUCAUUUCCUCAAAGAACAAAGCUACUUCAUAAAGAGAACGAAAACUGUCUCUUUUUCCCAAAGCACUUUGAAGUUCGGUUUGCAUAACAUACCCUUAAUGUACUUAAAGCUGUCCUUCAGAAACUGGAAGCAGCAAUAAAUGUUUGGACAGAGAUGUGUGAUGGAACAAUUCCAACAGAGAGAUUUCUUAGAAAAAGGGAAAAGUUGUGGCUUACUGCUGUCAUGUAUGAUCUUUGCAACAUCUUCAAAAGAUUGAAGUUGCUGUUUCAAAAAUAAAAUUUGAUAAUCCCAGAUAUAAUCAGUGGUAAAGAUAGUGCCAUUACAGAAAUUCCAUUUCCUGGGGGAAAAGAAGAGGACUAACAUGAGGGAUGUCAAGCGGUCAUCAAUGGUGAUGAAACUAAUGUCUGCCAAACUGCAAAUGCCCAUAGAUUUGUGACAUCCAGAAGUAGAGACAAAGGUGCAAUAAGAAGAGAAAUUGUGCGAAAAAUUUCCUUGAUCAACGAAUGGUUGUAGAAGAAAAUGAUACAAUCAAUUAUUUAAUUAAAUUUAUGGAAGCAAAGUCCCCCAAAGAGUUAAUUAAAGCUGCUGGGGAUCUCAAAUGUUUGGCGAAGAUCAAGUUAGUCAAUUUGUAUCUGCUGUCAGUCAAUCGUGGCAAUAAUUAAAAAAGAUCAAUCACAUUUCUGUAAAUAAUUGUGGAACAAGCUAUGCUCUCAAGCUAAGGAAGAUGACCCAGGCAAGUACUGGCCUCCUGAAAAUGUUUUUGGCACUUUUUCCUCACAGUAUUGCAACAAAGCUUGCAGUGUCACCCUACAACGACAUAAAAACGUCGUAAUGAGCUAGUUUAAAACAACAAACGAUCAACAGUACAAUGCACAUAUCGUUAAAUGGAAAAAGAACUGCAUAUUUUGAUCCUCGUCCAGUCAUAUGUGAAUUUUUGCAGAAGAAAGACCGGCGAAAUUAACAACCAGAUCAGGAGCUGUACAAAAGAAGAGAUUUUAUUAAAAAGAUUUUCACUGAAGAAUCUGGAAUUUUAUGAAAAAUGAAUUGACUUUGGUCGUAAACAUUUCAUUAAACAUUUCCAUUUACGUUUAUAACCAAUUUUUAAAGAUAUUUGUAAGAGACCUCCUAAUUACUGUAAGUCCUUGAUUAAGCCCCCACCCUCGAAAAGGCCCCUAUGGAGGCUCAAUUCAUGCUGAUAGCAAUCUUUAUAUCACUAUAUUUCUCAUUUAUCCACCUUGUAACUCGACUCAUUGCUCAAUUUAACACAAUCUUAGUGUUUCCUUGCAUUUUUUUAACCAUACUCAGGCUGAGAUGUUGCCUUAAAAUCAAUACAUCCCGUCACUCUCUUUUGUUUUGAGCCCAUUUUUAGCAUAAUAGCCAUCAGAGCUGGUAGUGUUUCUUGCUGUCAACAAAUAAGUCUCCACCCUCGAGUAAGGCCCCCUCCCCCCUCAUCAAAUAAGCCCCUUAACAUAUUUUUUGCGAAAUAAGACCCUGGGGCUUAUUUCAGGUCUUACGGUUGUGUCAUAUAUUGGAGGCAAAAGUCUCAACCCUAAAAUAGCUCAGUAUAUAUAACAAUCUAAAGUGUCAAUCCGAAGACUUCUGUGUCAUUUCCUACGUCAUUUCUGGUAUUGUAUAAGUGUGGGCCCUUGCCUGAAAUGCCCCACCACUCAAAAAUCCUUAAAAAUUGCCCUGAUGACGAAGCUGCUCGGCAAGUAUUUAUAAAGCUGCAGUCCAAAGAACAUGAUUCCCUCGCUUUGAAAAAGUGUGGUCUUUUUUAAGCAGUGAAAGCCCCUAUCUAGGAGCUACACCUGAUGGAUUGGUUGAAUGCUCAUGUCAUGGAUGUCUGCCACGUUGCCUGGAAAUAAAAUGUUUGUUCAAACUUUGCAAUGACACUUUGAAAGAUCUCCCAAGGAUUCUUUUCUAGAAGUAACAAAAAAGGGACUACAGUUGAAAAGGAGUCAUCAAUAUUACCAUCAAGUACAAGCACAGAUGGCCCUCACAAAUACUAAAGUUUGUGACUUCUUUGUUUGGACUACAGCAACAAUCUUGCUAACAAUGGGGUAACAACACAAAGGGGGCGUAGCUUGAUCGCCAUUUGCAACUCAGGCAAACCUGUCCUAAAAUUUUUGAAUUUCUUGCAUCUCAAUGUUGCAAUUAUGUGAGAAUUCGUGCUUCAAGUUGAUAAAUAACAAAAUAUCUCUAUAUUGAAAGGUAGAUAAAUAAAAAGGCUUCAAAGUAACACUGAAAACAAAACCUGAUGAAUAAUCGGUUGAGCAAAGGUUUUCAAAUCAUGUGGGCAGGGCUUUUCGAAACUUCCCUGCAAAAAUAGGAAGAAAACAGGCUGUAAAUUCAAUGUUGUAGUAAGGGCAGGAUGUUUUGCUAGAAAAAUGGCAGUCAAGUAAGGCCAAGGUACAGAGAAAUAAAAUAGGAAUAACCAUAUACUCACAAUCGAAAUUGCGUCCAAAAUCAAGAAUCUUAUUUGAGAAACAGGUCCAGUGUUUUCUUCGAACCCUUCUUCCCAACCCUGUGCUUCAAAAUGCACCUGGAAUCAUUUUCGCACUGAUUCAUCAUACUUUUAUUCAGCUGACUGUUCUGAUACAAAUUGUACAGUCAGUUAUCAAUUGAAAUAUUCCAUAAAAGGAAAUUUUUCACUUACUGGGAAAAAACUGGUCAUCUGUGCCUUGACCCUUGCCCCUGGUGGCACACUUAAGGAGCAAUAAUACAGAAGCAGGUCUUCCUUAAUUUGGAAGCCAAGGUCUGCCGUGAUUUCAUCACCUAGUUCAAAUAAGUUAUACAUAUUACUGUCCUUGCAGAUAAACUGGUGAGUAGUUCUGCCACCAUAACAGUCUGACAAAAACACGAUAAAGCCAUUUGGUGAAAUUGCUAUCAGGAACUUGAAGGUGUUAUGCUUCUUAUAGUCUAACCAUGUUGCAGCUUGUUCAUCAAGUGAUUUUGGUCGCUUAGUCCACACUUCAGAGCACUCUAUAAUGCACCUUGUCUUUCAAUACCUCUCUCUGAACAUACUUGGCAAAUCUGAAUUCCCAAUUUCUCUUGGUAACCAUCUCACAAGGGCAUCUCAAAGGAGUGAAGACAAAAGUCUCAUCCGGGUUGUGAAAAUACUGGACCAUGUCGCCCGUGAAAUACGAAAUCUGUCAGCUAAGUCCUUAUUCAGCAGUCUAACCUCGAAUGCAUGAAAACCAAUGAAAACUGGUUUUUCUCAUGAAGCUUGGGUGAUAUUUUGAUGGCUGUUUUCUUGUGCUUUGUUGACAUAUCUUGUGCUUCCCUCUCCAAUACACAAAAUUUGGCAAACAGGGCUUUAUCAACAAAAAAUAGGAUAUUGAAUAAAGCUACUGUUUGAAUGCCAGUAUAAAGUUUUAUUUUAGCAUCUGACUUUAUAUUUACCCAAAAAAACAAUUGCUUCUUCUCUUGCUUCACUGACACCUCCCACGAUCUUUUAAGAGAAAUGGUCAACUUCUUCUUUCAGUUGAUCCCUUUCUAUGUUAGGGGCUUAAUGCCAUUUAGUAGAGACAUUAUUAGAGCACUUUUCUUUUUACAAUUAGGACAUUCUUCUUUGGUAUGGCUGUGCUCUUCCUUUAACGAGACAUUGUCUCUUUUUUCAAUAACAGCAACUGUAUUACCUGUAGUGGAUGUUUGCUCAUCAUCUGUUUCAGCAAGUAUAGGCCAGUCAUCCACUUGGUUAGCAGGUGGUAUAUCUUUGCAAAGGAGAACUCUUCUUGCGUUUUUGGGUGGUUGUUUGUAGACCAAUUUCAUGCAAUCGGCAAUAUGUUCAGAACAUACCAUGUCACUUUCUCCAGGAACCUAUGCCUUGUUCCUCUUUGUUGUUUUCUGCAUCAAACGUAUCCAUACCUUCCUCGUUUCCAAAUUUUUCAAAACGCUUGGAAACUUAUGAAGCCAAAAGGGUUGUUCACAGGGACAUUCUUCGUGAGACUGGCGAUUGUAUUCCUCACAAGCUUCUUUCUUCCACUUUCUCAAUUUGUAGUUACUGUUCAUACAUCAAACCACAGCGCAGUUUCUGCUCACCAUAUCUAAAUCACUCCGUCUUUUUUGGCCACCAGAGCUUAAUACUGAUGAGAGCUUCAAAAAAGCUGCUCCAAAUAUAGUAGACCACAAACGACAAAUGAAUAAAGUAAAACGCGAAGAUUUGAUUUAAUUAUGUUAAUAAAGUUGCAUUGAAUAUACCCAGUUAUAACUAAUGGGUUAAAACUCGCAAAUUGUGGUUUAAAUUUUGAUUUACAUAAGGUAAUAGGCCAAAUUUCUUCUGCGCAAGAGGGUGGCCUGUUAAUUCUUUUGCUUAUUGUCAAAGUUUGGGGUGUAUGACCUGAAGACAAUAAGCUAAAAUUUUCAAAUCCCGAGGAAACCAUUGAACUGCCAACAAAACGAGAUACAAUUAAUUAUAUACAAGAGCAAAUAUAAAAAAGUAAAAUAUAAAUAUAUAAGUUACUAAUAAGAUUAGCAGCACAAAAACAUCCCCUCUACGUAUACCAACAGCAUAAAGACAUCCCACAUUUCAAUAUCUUUUGCAGUUAAUGUCAACAUUGAACUUGAUAUUUCCUAUCUCCAUUAAACCCCCCCCCCCCUAUUCCAUAAGUGUAUAAAUAUGAGCCCGUAUCUUCAACAACCCAACAACUCUUGGUGUCAUAAACCACGCCAGCUUCGAAGAGUUAAUGGUUGAGGUCAAAAAAGUUGGGACAAUGGUGAUUAUUACAAGUAUAUGUGGUCAUUGUGGAAAGCAUUUCACCUGGAAGAGUCAACCAUUAAUGCCAAAGUUGAAGACACCAGCAGGAAAUUUCCUUUUAUGUAUGGCGACAUUAUUGUCAGGUGCAUCAAUAAUGAAAGUUAAAAAAAUAUUUGGUGCAAUGGGUUUAGCAUGUGUAUCACUUAAAACAUAUUUUAAGCACUAAAAGGUAAUAUAUUUUUUCUCUUUAAUUUCUCUUGUAUAUCUGAAAAGUUAUUCCCCUUUAAAUCCUACAGAUCAUGUAUUUCUUCUUUCCAUACCUUUGUAAGCAUUUCCUGGUCUAGCAUGACAGUACUUGAUGCCCAAAGGUAAAGGUAAAGGACAUAGGUGAUGUACAGUGCAAUCAAAAUAGUAGAAGUUUACUCAAGAUGACACAGACUCCAAUCUUUGAUUCAAUGUAAUUCAGCAUCAAUGUUAUCUUUGAUAUAUAUCAUUUUCAAAGUAAUGACAAGAAUUUUAGUUCUUUAGGCAAGGCUUGUAUUUUAAUUUCUUUAAUAUUUACUCCUGAAACUUGGUUUUCAAAAUAAUGAAAAUCCUGUUUAUACAAUUUUGAGUAGUGUACUGGUUGCAGAAUUGGGUAACCUAAAUGAUACCUAACAACUAUAUAAUUUUUCUCUUCUUCCUGUUUCAGGUUAGACUAUUUCCAGCCAUAUUCAUUUAUUGGAAAAAUUACCAAGAAAAAAUAUAUGCCAGCCUGAAAAACAAAAAGCUAGCAAUUGCAGGUGAUGCCAGGCAUGACAGUAUGGGACACAGUGCCAAGAAUGGAGUUUAUUCCAUGUUUUCCUGUCACCUUUCAAAAGUGAUCGACUUUCAGCUUGUUCAGGUAAAUAUGAUGCAAAUUUAUAUGUGUUCUGAAAAUUAUUUCAUUGAACCAUGUUUAGACAUUUUUUUAUUAGAUAAACUCUCCCAGUGUACUGAUUUGAAGCUCCAGAAGAUCUAAACUUUAUAUCAAACAUGCCCUGUUAAACAUGAGCAUGCUUUGAAUGUUUUGUUCAAAUUUUGAAUUGUAAAUAAAACUGUCUCAAUGCUGGUAAUAUUGCAACACAAUUGCUUCUUUAUAUAUUUUUAUUGUAUUUUACUGUAGAAAAAUGAGGCAGGGAGGAGCAAUGCUAUGGAGCUGUAUGGUUUUAAAAAGUGCCUCGAAAACCUUGUUGAUAAUCAAAAGCUUGCUGUUGAAACAUUGGUGACUGACAGGCAUGUUGCAGUUACAAAAUAUGUCAGAGAGAACUACAAGGAAGUAAAGCAUUACUAUGACAUUUGGAAUAUAAAAAAAGUAUGUAUGAAUUCUUUUCAAUAUAAAGUCAAAAUACCAAAUAUUUUGUUUCAUUUAGCAUUCAUAGCUUCAUAUAAAUAUAAAAGAGCUUUUCUGAGGACGACACCUUAAAGAUUUAUUAACAGCUAAAAAUGUCAUUCAAAAAAACAAAUAUAAAGUUGACAAAUUCUUAUUUUAAGUUCUUGAAACACAUAGCUAUGAACCACUGCUGUAUUUCCUAUUGCAUCAAUUAUAAAAUUGCCUUUCCUUUAUCACUAGAAAUACGCAAAGUUCUAAUCAAAAUAGGAAAGGAGAAAGGUAUGGAUAUUGUAAAAGAGUGGAUAAGGCCAUGCGAAAACCACUUGUUUUGGUUAGCAACAACAACAAGCAAUGGUGAUGGCAGGGUCAUUUUAGCAAAAUUCAAAGCAUUCCUGCAUCACAUUCUGGACAAGCAUGAAAAUUUUGAUAAUCCAAUAUUCAAUGCCUGUGUUCAUGAUACACUUGGACCUUAGAAAUGGCUUAUGGAAGACCCGAAGGAAUAUUAGAAAAUAAGAAAAGCUCUUCUCGACAAAAGAUUGUUGAAUGGGAUAAAGGAGGUUCCCCCCUUGCACAAACAAGCUGCCUUGAAGGUUACCAUUCUGUUGUCAAUCACUUUGCCCCAAAAAUGGUAGCAUAUUCGCAUAGUGGAAUAUUUUGCAGGUAAAAAGUUGAUAAUUGUAGUAGGCAUAGAUGAUUGAUAUCAAAAAUGGUGUUUAACUCUUUGUCUAUAAUAAGACUUUUGACAGACUUUUGACACCUUCUUUGGCAAGAAUUUAAGAAAAAGAAUAAUUCUCGUUUUCUCCAUUUCUUGAAGAAUUCAAAUUUUAAAAUUGUGAGUAAUGUGAUAUCGUUGAAAUUGAGUGAGUUGAUCUAGUUUUGUCAUUUCAUUUCACAGAACAGCUCUAGCUGCAGUUCAUUUUAACGCAAAUAUCCACAGAGCUGCUGAAUGCAGACGGGGAAAGGCAAAUCAAGACAUUUUACCCCAAAUUCAAAAAUGGUGAGGCUUCUAUCAAAGAUGUUAGAGAACCACAGAAUUUUGAUUACAUAGAAGAAAUAUAUCAGCUGUUAACAAAGUUAGAGCCAAAUGAAUUGAGGAUUGCACAAAAGACCCUAGAAGAUCAGGCCCCUGCACCAAUUAACACGAUGUUGGCCAAGCAACCAAGAGAGGAGGCCAUUAUUAAACAAGCUGAAAGAAAGGCAAUGGUGACAUUAGAUGUACCUCCAACAAAUGAUCCAGACACCUUAGAAGCUGAUCCGGAGCCAAAAGUUAGACAUUGCAGUGCUGAAAAUGAAAGAAACUAUAUACAAAAAAUAAAAACAUAUAAGGUCUUUUAUUUAUAUUAUGGUUCAUCAGCAUAUCCCUUGUUUCCAUUGCUGCUUGGAAAAGUUUUUCUAAUGGCAUAAUACAAACACUCAGGCAAUGGUAUUGGUCUGUCUCCUAAAAUCCCAUAUAUCAGUCUUCUGAAUUCUCUGUAGGACACACUUCUCAGCAAUCUGUAAUAGAAGAGUAGAACAAAAAUUGACAAGCUUAUCAAGAAAUAAUUAGAAAAUCAUGUAAACUUGUUAGAAAUUUACAGAAAUCAACCAUUUUUUUAAAAUUUUUACAGAGCUUACACAUUUUUUUAAAUGAAGUCCUGUUUCUCUCGUUUAUCCAUUAGAAAUAUAUGGGGCUAAAAUAUUAGUUUUUUAGGGAUCUUUGUUUUUUUUCUGGCCCCCAGAAAUGGAAUGGCGCCCAGAAAGUUUUUUCCCUUUCUUGCCCCCUCGAAGAUUUUUUAAAAAAAAUGUCUAUUUUAACAUUAAGAUUUCUUCCAUAGCUGUUCAAUCGUUUUUUGACUUUUUGUAGGGAUGUUUUUUUCUGGCCCCUAGCAAUGGUAUGGCCCCCAGAAAGUUUCUUUGCCCUUGCUUGCCCCCUCCCAGUUUUUUGAAAAAAUUCUCUACUCAAACAUAAAGAUUUCUUCAAUAGCUGUUCAAUCGUUUUUCAGCUUUGUUAGUGAUAUUUCUUUUUUUUUCUGGCCGCCAGAAAUGUUUCUUUUAAAACAUCAAGAUUUCUCCCAUAGCUGUUCAAUCGUUUUUUGACUAUGUUAGGGAUCUUUCUUUUUUCUGGCCCCCAGAAAAAGAAUAACCCCCAGAAAGGUUCUUUGCCCCUC